rnacentral:rRNA from 1 species
AUGAGGAAGCGCGAGAGGGAGAACCCGUGCGGGGUCUGCGGGCACUACCACAAGUGCGAGGAAGGGGAGAUAUGCGGGGUCUGCGGCCACAGGCCCGCCGCGGCGGACGCGGUGGCCCCGGCGAGGGUCGACUCCGCCUUCCCCUCCGAGGUGCUCAAGGGCUUCCUCUUCCUCGGCAGCUACGACAACGCCUCCCGCUCCGAGGUCCUCAAGACGCUCAACAUCACCCACAUCCUCAACACUGUGCCGGAUUGCCAUAAUCUUUACCGGAAUUCAUUCACUUACCACUGCCUCCAAGAUGAUAAAACAUUGGAUUUUGAUGGUGCUACUCAGUUUCUAGAGCAAUGUGAAAGAGGGGCUUCACGUGUUCUUGUCCAUUGCAUGUCUGGGAAAAACAGGUCAGCUGCUGUGGUGACAGCCUUCUUGAUGAAGUCUAGAGGGUGGAGACUUGCACCGUCUCUCCAGUGGGUAAAAGAUCGACGACCACAGGUCCAAAUAACAGAAGCUUCUCAGUGUCAGCUUGUUGAGUAUGAACAGAAGCUCUUUGGACCCAGCGCUGGCUCGCCAGCUCAGACCACGGUUCUAACCGAGUCAUUUCCUUCACUUGGAUUUGGUUUCCCACAACCAUCAGGUGACAUCCAAGUGCCUGCGUUCAACCAGACUCCUGUGCCAUCCAUUUUCGAGCGGGCCGGCCCAAACAAUGUUCCCAGUAACUUCACUUUCGGAGCCGACGGUUCAAUGGGAGUCGGAGUCGGUCCCGCCGCAGGGAUCAACAAUGGCGCAGUCACCCCAGCUUCGACGGAUAACCAGAUGGACAGCUCUUAA